GACGAACGCUGGCGGCGUGCUUAACACAUGCAAGUCGAGCGGUAAGGCCCUUUCGGGGUACGACGAGCGGCGAACGGGUGAGUAACACGUGGGUGACCUGCCCUCAGCUCUGGGAUAAGCCUGGGAAACCGGGGUCUAAUACCGGAUAUGACUCCAUGACGCAUGUUGUGGGGUGGAAAGCCUUGUGCGGCUGAGGAUGGGCCCGCGGCCUAUCAGCUUGUUGGUGGGGUGAUGGCCUACCAAGGCGACGACGGGUAGCCGGCCUGAGAGGGCGACCGGCCACACUGGGACUGAGACACGGCCCAGACUCCUACGGGAGGCAGCAGUGGGGAAUCUUGCGCAAUGGGCGAAAGCCUGACGCAGCGACGCCGCGUGAGGGAUGACGGCCUCGGUUGUAACCU
rnacentral:rRNA from 1 species